rnacentral:rRNA from 1 species
GACGAACGCUGGCGGCGUGCUUAACACAUGCAAGUCGAACGGAAAGGCCCUGCUUUUGUGGGGUGCUCGAGUGGCGAACGGGUGAGUAACACGUGAGUAACCUGCCCUUGACUUUGGGAUAACUUCAGGAAACUGGGGCUAAUACCGGAUAGGAGCUCCUGCUGCAUGGUGGGGGUUGGAAAGUUUCGGCGGUUGGGGAUGGACUCGCGGCUUAUCAGCUUGUUGGUGGGGUAGUGGCUUACCAAGGCUUUGACGGGUAGCCGGCCUGAGAGGGUGACCGGCCACAUUGGGACUGAGAUACGGCCCAGACUCCUACGGGAGGCAGCAGUGGGGAAUAUUGCACAAUGGGCGGAAGCCUGAUGCAGCAACGCCGCGUGCGGGAUGACGGCCUUCGGGUUGUAAACCGCUUUCGCCUGUGACGAAGCGUGAGUGACGGUAAUGGGUAAAGAAGCACCGGCUAACUACGUGCCAGCAGCCGCGGUGAUACGUAGGGUGCGAGCGUUGUCCGGAUUUAUUGGGCGUAAAGGGCUCGUAGGUGGUUGAUCGCGUCGGAAGUGUAAUCUUGGGGCUUAACCCUGAGCGUGCUUUCGAUACGGGUUGACUUGAGGAAGGUAGGGGAGAAUGGAAUUCCUGGUGGAGCGGUGGAAUGCGCAGAUAUCAGGAGGAACACCAGUGGCGAAGGCGGUUCUCUGGGCCUUUCCUGACGCUGAGGAGCAAAAGCGUGGGGAGCGAACAGGCUUAGAUACCCUGGUAGUCCACGCUGUAAACGGUGGGUACUAGGUGUGGGGUCCAUUCCACGGGUUCCGUGCCGUAGCUAACGCUUUAAGUACCCCGCCUGGGGAGUACGGCCGCAAGGCUAAAACUCAAAGGAAUUGACGGGGCCCCGCACAAGCGGCGGAGCAUGCGGAUUAAUUCGAUGCAACGCGUAGAACCUUACCUGGGUUUGACAUGGAUCGGGAGCGCUCAGAGAUGGGUGUGCCUCUUUUGGGGUCGGUUCACAGGUGGUGCAUGGCUGUCGUCAGCUCGUGUCGUGAGAUGUUGGGUUAAGUCCCGCAACGAGCGCAACCCUUGUUCACUGUUGCCAGCACGUUAUGGUGGGGACUCAGUGGAGACCGCCGGGGUCAACUCGGAGGAAGGUGGGGAUGACGUCAAGUCAUCAUGCCCCUUAUGUCCAGGGCUUCACGCAUGCUACAAUGGCUGGUACAGAGAGUGGCGAGCCUGUGAGGGUGAGCGAAUCUCGGAAAGCCGGUCUCAGUUCGGAUUGGGGUCUGCAACUCGACCUCAUGAAGUCGGAGUCGCUAGUAAUCGCAGAUCAGCAACGCUGCGGUGAAUACGUUCCCGGG